rnacentral:lncRNA from 1 species
AUAAGCAGCACAUAGCUUAAUUCUAGAAAUGAUUGCUUAUGUAAAGCCCUUUCCAGUUUUCAAAGAGUCACACAUUUUUCCUUUGUCGCUCUCAGUCCCCUAUUAAAACAACAGUGCAGGAUUCCUAAUGUGGUACAGCAGAAACCAAUCCAACUAGGAACCAUGAGGAUGCGGGUUCGAUCCCUGGCCUUGCUCAGUGGGACGGGGAUCCAGUGUUGCCUUGAGCUGUGGUGUAGGUUGCAGACACGGCUUGGAUCCCAAGUCGCUAUGGCUGUGGUGUAGCAACACAGGACCCGUGCCGAGCCUGUGACCUACACCACAGCUCAUGGCAACACCGGAACCUUAACCCACUGAGCAUGGCAACACCAGAACCUUAACCCACUGAGCGAGGUCAGGGAUCGAACCCACGUCCUCAUGGAUACUAGUCAGGUUCAUUACCACUAAGCCAUGAUGGGAACUCCCCCAAAGUCUCUAUUUUAAAAACCUCAAUUAAUGCAGCAUUAUUUCUUAAGUAUUUCUGUGUCAAUCUGUCAGCUCUCUGGGUGGAUAGCUGCAAUGCCAACUUCAUCUCAUGCCCAAGUUCAGUAUCAUCCGCAGUGCCUGGAGGCACUGCUCUCUGAUGUAAAACAGCCCUGCCUUAUUAGAGUCCAGUUAGAUGCGAUAAAGAGGGAAAAAGAAAAAUGAGAACACAGAGAGGCCCUAAUUUAUAUAAAUCACUGCCAGGUGUCCUUAAAAAAGCCUUUAGUUAUUUUAUGUUAUUUAUUUAUUUUUUUACAGCCAAAUAAAUGCCUACUGGAUUCCAUAUAUUGAGCUAGGUGCCAAGGAUAUAAAAUCAUAUAUGAGAACUUCCUGUCUUCAUGGAGAUUACAGUGUAUCCCAAGUCAUUAGAUCAGGGGAAUUUAAGAAAAAAAAAAAAAAAAAAAGCUUCAGCUUUUUUAAACCAUCAGGUCCCAAACUACCAUGUAAAUUUCUAUAGAAUGGUAUGUCGACCUAUGCAUUUCUCUAUUGGUAUGGGAUUAAUUAAAAAUAUGAACCUGGCGUUCCUGUCAUGGCUCAGAAGAUAUAUAUAUCUUCUGUUCAAACUUCCCACCUUCUCUGGCUUAUUGUACAUACACAAAAUUUUGGCAACCCAGAAAGAAUAAAACAACCAAAGAGGCCUAAUUUCCAAAAUAAUUAUAUUCCAGAAGUUCACCUUCAAGCCUAUCAUUGGGAACACUGAAAGAGCUGUCUUAAGAAUGAGUAAAGGAAGGUUAUUACAUUUUUAAGACAAUAGGUCAUAACAAUUUUUAGAAAAUUACACCAUUUUGUGGAAAGCUAAGAAAACAAUGAACAUUACAACCCUAUUUACUGUAUUCUGAAGUUUCCUUGAUUUCAAUUUUAUAGAAACAUUUAUCAAGCUGACACUAGUGAAGAAAUGCAACAUACC